CUAUGGCCAUACCACACUGAACAUGCCUGAUCUCAUCUGAUCUCAGAAGCUAAGCAGGGCUGGGCCUGGCUAGUACUUGGAUGGGAGAGGCUAAGUAGUUCCCAGUGUCACAUGGU
rnacentral:rRNA from 1 species